AGUGAACGCUGGCGGUACGCCUAACACAUGCAAGUCGAACGGCAGCACAGUAAGAGCUUGCUCUUACGGGUGGCGAGUGGCGGACGGGUGAGGAAUACAUCGGAAUCUACUUUUUCGUGGGGGAUAACGUAGGGAAACUUACGCUAAUUCCGCAUACGACCUACGGGUGAAAGCAGGGGAUCUUCGGACCUUGCGCGAUUGAAUGAGCCGAUGUCGGAUUAGCUAGUUGGCGGGGUAAAGGCCCACCAAGGCGACGAUCCGUAGCUGGUCUGAGAGGAUGAUCAGCCACACUGGAACUGAGACACGGUCCAGACUCCUACGGGAGGCAGCAGUGGGGAAUAUUGGACAAUGGGCGCAAGCCUGAUCCAGCCAUACCGCGUGGGUGAAGAAGGCCUUCGGGUUGUAAAGCCCUUUUGUUGGGAAAGAAAAGCAGCAGGUUAAUACCCCGCUGUUCUGACGGUACCCAAAGAAUAAGCACCGGCUAACUUCGUG
rnacentral:rRNA from 1 species